ACCUUCUGUAGUGUAGUUGGUAGCGUCUUGGAUUAAUAAUAAGUCCCAGGUUCAAGUCCUGGUCGGGGUA